rnacentral:rRNA from 1 species
UACAGAGGGUGCGAGCGUUGUCCGGAAUCACUGGGCGUAAAGGGCGCGUAGGCGGCUUGAUAAGCGUGCGGUGAAAGCCCGGGGCUCAACCCCGGGUCGGCCGUGCGAACUGUCGAGCUGGAGCACUGUAGAGGCAGGUGGAAUUCCAGGGUGUAGCGGUGGAAUGCGUAGAGAUCCGGAAGAACACCGGUGGCGAAGGCGGCCUGCUGGGCAGUGGCUGACGCUGAGGCGCGACAGCGUGGGGAGCAAACAGG